AAGAUCAUACUUCACAGGAUCAUUUCUGUAGUAUGCAUCGUCCCCUCCAGGUGCAAAUCUGGAGUCGUCGUAAGCCACGAUGAUGAGAUAAAUCUAUUUAUCUGAGCGUGAGAUAGCUACACUAAUUCUGUUGAAGAAAUAUUUAGCAACGAUGAUCGCAUUCGGUUUUUCCGAAAUGAUAGAUAGACAGUCUGAGUGGU